UCGUCUGCCGCAGCUGAAGAAAGGGGCAGUGCCUUCACUAAAAAUACCUGUUCGGACGCACGAAACACAAGUAAAACCCCGACCAAGCAGAAGGAAAGUGACAGAGGCCAGCCAUGGUAUGAAACCAGACGAUUUACCGCCAGCUGUGUCUCGGGAGGAGGUUCGCGCCUGCGUGCCCCCAGUCGUUCCAUGUGCAGCCGAAAACUGUGAUCAACCUGUCCAAGCCGGGCUUUCUGUAGUAAGCUCCUGUCCAAGCAGCCAUGUAGGAAAUGAAGAGAUGCCAACAGGUAAGAUUUGUAAAUAUUACCAUAAUUGUUGCGCGAGGCAAAUCACUCCUAUCUACUGUAGCAUUACGUUACCCAUGCUCCGGAGCUGCAUCCUUCCUCUCCGUCACCAGUCCUGCCUUCUUCGCCAAAUUCCGACAAAUGCUGUCUCCACCCUGGCAUCUCUAUCUAUAUCACUUGCGUCUAGACCGAUCCUGCCGCAACUGUCCUUGCCUCUAUGCUAAAAUGGAACGCUGGCUCUUCGUUGUCCU